rnacentral:rRNA from 1 species
AUGAACGCUAGCUACAGGCUUAACACAUGCAAGUCGAGGGGAAACGACAUCGAAAGCUUGCUUUUGAUGGGCGUCGACCGGCGCACGGGUGAGUAACGCGUAUCCAACCUGCCCACCACUUGGGGAUAACCUUGCGAAAGUAAGACUAAUACCCAAUGAUAUCUCUAGAAGACAUCUGAAAGAGAUUAAAGAUUUAUCGGUGAUGGAUGGGGAUGCGUCUGAUUAGCUUGUUGGCGGGGUAACGGCCCACCAAGGCAACGAUCAGUAGGGGUUCUGAGAGGAAGGUCCCCCACAUUGGAACUGAGACACGGUCCAAACUCCUACGGGAGGCAGCAGUGAGGAAUAUUGGUCAAUGGACGAGAGUCUGAACCAGCCAAGUAGCGUGCAGGAAGACGGCCCUAUGGGUUGUAAACUGCUUUUAUAAGGGAAUAAAGUGAGGGUCGUGACUCUUUUUGCAUGUACCUUAUGAAUAAGGACCGGCUAAUUCCGUGCCAGCAGCCGCGGUAAUACGGAAGGUCCGGGCGUUAUCCGGAUUUAUUGGGUUUAAAGGGAGCGUAGGCCGGAGAUUAAGCGUGUUGUGAAAUGUAGACGCUCAACGUCUGCACUGCAGCGCGAACUGGUUUCCUUGAGUACGCACAAAGUGGGCGGAAUUCGUGGUGUAGCGGUGAAAUGCUUAGAUAUCACGAAGAACUCCGAUUGCGAAGGCAGCUCACUGGAGCGCAACUGACGCUGAAGCUCGAAAGUGCGGGUAUCGAACAGGAUUAGAUACCCUGGUAGUCCGCACGGUAAACGAUGGAUGCCCGCUGUUGGUCUGAAUAGGUCAGCGGCCAAGCGGAAGCAUUAAGCAUCCCACCUGGGGAGUACGCCGGCAACGGUGAAACUCAAAGGAAUUGACGGGGGCCCGCACAAGCGGUGGAGCAUGUGGUUUAAUUCGAAGCAACGCGAAGAACCUUACCAGGUCUUGACAUCGAUCUAAAGGCUCCAGAGAUGGAGAGAUAGCUAUAGAGAAGACAGGUGGUGCAUGGUUGUCGUCAGCUCGUGCCGUGAGGUGUCGGCUUAAGUGCCAUAACGAGCGCAACCCCUCUCCUUAGUUGCCAUCAGGUCAAGCUGGGCACUCUGGGGACACUGCCACCGUAAGGUGUGAGGAAGGUGGGGAUGACGUCAAAUCAGCACGGCCCUUACGUCCGGGGCUACACACGUGUUACAAUGGCAGGUACAGAGAGACGGUCCCUUGCAAAACGGAUCAAAUCCUUAAAGCCUGUCUCAGUUCGGACUGGGGUCUGCAACCCUACCCCACGAAGCUGGAUUCGCUAGUAAUCGCGCAUCAGCCAUGGCGCGGUGAAUACGUUCCCGGGCCUUGUACACACCGCCCGUCAAGCCAUGAAAGCCGGGGGCGCCUAAAGUCCGUGACCGUAAGGAGCGGCCUAGGGCGAAACUGGUAAUUGGGGCU